CCUACGGGUGGCAGCAGUGAGGAAUAUUGGUCAAUGGACGAGAGUCUGAACCAGCCAAGUAGCGUGAAGGAUGACUGCCCUAUGGGUUGUAAACUUCUUUUAUAUGGGAAUAAAAUGUUCCACGUGUGGGAUUUUGUAUGUACCAUAUGAAUAAGGAUCGGCUAACUCCGUGCCAGCAGCCGCGGUAAUACGGAGGAUCCGAGCGUUAUCCGGAUUUAUUGGGUUUAAAGGGAGCGUAGGUGGAUUGUUAAGUCAGUUGUGAAAGUUUGCGGCUCAACCGUAAAAUUGCAGUUGAAACUGGCAGUCUUGAGUACAGUAGAGGUGGGCGGAAUUCGUGGGGUAGCGGUGAAAUGCUUAGAUAUCACGAAGAACUCCGAUUGCGAAGGCAGUUCACUGGACUGCAACUGACACUGAGGCUCGAAAGUGUGGGUAUCAAACAGGAUUAGAUACCCGAGUAGUC
rnacentral:rRNA from 1 species